rnacentral:rRNA from 1 species
UACAGAGACCUCAAGCGUUAUCCGGAAUCAUUGGGCGUAAAGCGUGUGUAGGCGGGCGGGCAAGUACCUUGUGAAAUCCCACGGCUCAACCGUGGAACGGCUGGGUAUACUGCCUGUCUUGAGCCAGCUAGGGGCGACCGGAACAGACGGUGGAGCGGUGAAAUGCGUAGAUAUCGUCUGGAACGCCAAAGGUGAAAACAGGUCGCUGGGGCUGAGCUGACGCUGAGACACGAAAGCCAGGGGAGCGAACGGG